rnacentral:rRNA from 1 species
GACGAACGCUGGCGGCGUGCCUAAUACAUGCAAGUAGAACGCUGAAGGAGGAGCUUGCUUCUCCGGAUGAGUUGCGAACGGGUGAGUAACGCGUAGGUAACCUGCCUGGUAGCGGGGGAUAACUAUUGGAAACGAUAGCUAAUACCGCAUAACAGUAGAUGUAGCAUGACAUUUGCUUAAAAGGUGCAAUUGCAUCACUACCAGAUGGACCUGCGUUGUAUUAGCUAAUUGGUGAGGUAACGGCUCACCAAGGAGACGAUACAUAGCCGGCCUGGGAGGGGUGACGGCCAAACUGGGACUGGAAAAACGCUCAGACUCCUUCGGGGAGCAACAGGAGGGGAACUUUGGCAAAUGACGGAAGUCUGGACGAGGAACGCCGCGGGGGUGGAGGAGGGUCUCGGAUCGGAAAACUCUUUUGAAAGAGAAGAAAGAGUGGUAGAGUUGAAAGUUCACACUGUGACGGUAUCUAACCAGAAAGGGACGGCUAACUACGUG